ACGCUCGACACCUACGGGAGCAGCAGUGGGGAAUAUUGCACAAUGGGGGAAACCCUGAUGCAGCGACGCCGCGUGAGUGAAGAAGUAUUUCGGUAUGUAAAGCUCUAUCAGCAGGGAAGAAGAUGACGGUACCUGAGUAAGAAGCCCCGGCUAACUACGUGCUAGCAGCCGCGGUAAUCUGAGCGGGCUGGCAAGGC
rnacentral:rRNA from 1 species